GAGAAAAUAGAGAUGACAGGUAGGUGGCUAAGUAAGGUGACAGGAUGGCAGACAGCAUUCCUAUCAGGGAAGAAAGAAUUUAUAAGGGAGCUGCCACUUAUAGCGUAAUACAGCUAAGUUAAGAAUUGCAAACAGAGUAGGGCCAAGCAACAUUUUAAGAACAAUUGUCCUUAAACAUUCUUGUAAUGCUAAGUCACUCAUCUUUGUUUCCCACUUGCUUCCUAGAGUUAAGAAAAGUUCUUUCCUAACUUGGGUUGCUAUGCAGAGAUGUGAAAUUUCAUUGGCUCCAAAUGCUUUUCUGUCUAGUAGGGACUACUGGGAACCCUACUAAUGUGCAUAUUGAUGUACCCUGUAGCUUCACAGAUGAUGAAAGAGCAUAUUACUUAUUUCCACAACAACAAAGCUAAGAGAAAUUUGAAAGCAGCCAGUUAUUUUACCUGGGGACUUUCUCCCAGGUGACGGGGCUAUGGAACCAUGGAAUUUAAAUAUGGGGGUGUCCUAUUUUCUAAAAAGUUUUUAUGAGGAGCCACAAUCCUACUCCCAAGCAGAAAUCAAAUCAAAUAAAAGACUGUUGCUUUUAUUUGCAUUUAUUUAGUCAACUAUGCCUAAAAUACGGAAAAGACAUUAUCAUGCUCAUUCAGAGUGUAUUUUAUUCGUUGUUUACUAGGCUGGACUGACAUGAUAUGAUUUGCGCUUUGCGGGGUCACAACAAGCUACUAGCAGGACAAUUUGCUGAAUCAAGAGGAUGAUUGUGUCUGGUGCCAGUCAGUCGCAAUUAGGACCAGGAUCAGGGAGGCCCGGGGCUUGUGCAUCGUCUUGGGCAAGCUGCAUAGAAAUCAGCUCACCUGAAACUAAUUGUCACAACAGAGACCUUAUGCAAAUGAGCCCUGGGGUUAGCGUGGGAAAAGAAAAACUGUCGCAAAGAUAGGUGACCUGCUGAGCAGGGGGUCUGUUGCUGGGGAAAUCUUUGUUCAAUGAGUUUAAAAAUGUUUUCAUUGUUCAAAAUCCAACCCCACCCCCCAAAAGAAAAGUAGCAUACACCCUCACUAAGAGUAUGGCAAACACACUCAUCUAAAAUUCCAAUAAAGCAGAAGCCUGCUUUGGAGCAUGCCAUAAAUUGGGAGUCUUUAUACUUUAUAAGGGCUACAGCAGGAGAAUAAUUUCCCUUUGCAAGGGCCUUUAAAGUUUAGGUGCUGCGGAUUGCAGAGUGGCCUACCUUGAAAAUUCACUUGCAAGGUCAGGCCUACUGCUAGCCUGGCAGGACCUGCACCGCCUUUUCUCCCUGCAUUCCAGCAGGCCACCUCCACACAGCUGUGAGGAGUGCCUGUGAACUAGACAAGAAAGGCCUAGUUUCUAAUUGAGCUUUACUGGUAUCUCAGGUAGAAGCGAAGGGCCAGGAGCGCUCUCUAACACAUGGCAAAAGAACCUGGGGAAACAAUGGCAGUUUCUUGAAUUGUGGUUUCUCAGAUAUUCACAAGUUCAAAUGAAAUGCAAGCAUUGUGAAAUCCCAGGGAUGGUAAUGCAGCCCAAGUGGUAAUAGAUUAUAAAAAUUUAGCAAAAGAAAAGUAAAAAUUAUUUUCAAACUAUAAUUUACUUUGUUUUUCAAUCCCUGACAAAAACAUGUAUAAGUUGGAAAUGGUGUUUGAUUUUAUUAUAGCACACAUCUGAAAUAAUCUUUAAUAUGUUCUACUUUAGAAAACCAGAUGAAGAAAAGUUGUUCAAAGGUAAUGGUAAACAUUUUUAUACGUUACUGUAACAAAGUUGCCUUUGGGUUCUUCAAUUGAUUUUUAGCUUUUCAAUCUUGUUUUCCUAAAAACAUGGGCUAACAUAUUGAUACUUCUUAGCUUUACACUACAGAUUUCCCAGUGACAUAGUAUAUAAUGUAUAUUCACACAGGAGUAUAAAUAUAAUAUCAAGAAAAUGAAAUAGAGUGUUCUAAACUUUAGCAGUAACAGAGAGCAUAGAUAUUUUGCAUCUAGUGAUUUCAAAGAAAGAAUAAUUUGAAUUUAAAAAUGUAGGUGAGAGAAACAGAAAGUUUCAUUGCAUUGGCGUUGAAUACAAAUGCUAUUUUGUUUGGCAAAUUACUGGGCCUAAGAAAGUGUUUUCAUUGUGUUUCCUAAAGGGCUGGAUUGAAAUUUGGACUUGUACCUGAUAAGCAAGCUCAGGAAUUAACUUGGUAGCCACCCCAAAACCUAAAGAAAGUUAGGCUUAGAAAGGCAACUUAAUCACAAUUUAAAUUAAAACACACGCGCACACACACACACACACACACACAACUCUUUUGUCCCUUCACCACUGUCUGAAAUAAUUUCCACAUAUAGGAGACAUUUCACAGUGGGUACGAAGUGCUCAGCUUUCACUCAUCAAACUUUAAUCGGAACUGCAUUUUAGUUUUUGAAUAAAGAACACUUAAAAAAUUUAGAUGCAAAUUAUUUUGCAUUAUUCAUGCUUUAAGUGUCCUUGUAGAUUUAAACACUUCUGAGGCCACCUUGAUUCAAGUAAUUACCUAGGCCCUCACUGCUCCGUCAUGAAUAAGGUAUUUUGUACAAGUAAAGUAUGCACCCGAUGAGCUUUUAAAGUGGCUUUACACUGAACUUGUGUAUUGCUUCUUGUGCAUGAGUGAGCCGAACAUGCGUCGCAAUCUGUCUCAGGUGGGAAACCCUGGCUGGGCAUCCAUGGGUGACGGGAUGAAACCCGAGCGUCUCCUUCACACACAUGCUCUUCCUUUGUCUCUACCUAAGAAUGCUCCUGCCUGAUUGUAGUAGCUGUUUUAAGCAUUAAAGAAAAGCAAUAGAUUCUAGGAAAAGAGACAGGGAAUGCGACAGUGAUUCCGCUUAACCCCUUCAUCACAGUUUAUUGGAAAUGCCCACUUUUCAGGCCGCCUCAUCUCCAUCAGCAGAGGCUUCCUUGUAAGGUAAUAAGUCUCUGUGAUUUUACAUGGUUCUGUACAUCUGUCUCCCCAUCUGUCAGCCUAGCCUCCUGAGCUGUUAGAGCUAGGUGCUACCUCCACCACGGUAUUCACGCGAAAUGGAGCAGGCUUCAAACUCAAAUGCAGCUGAAGAAUACUUACAAUGGAGAUGAAAGUGACCAUGGAGCAUAAAUCUGUAAGUUUAUCCACACACACAAAAAGAGGGUUUGUAAGAGUUAAAUGUAAUUGGCUGAAGCUUAUAGCUGGCGUUUGUUACAAAGUGCCCAAGCCUUUCCUUUCCAACUCCGUGGCUUUGAAGAAUUAUAGGAAUUUUAUGAUGUGCUGUUGGAGUUAUACUGGCAGAGAUUACAGAAAAGGGGUUAAAGUUGGUUUAUGGUAGAAAAAAAAUUAUGCAGAAACCAAUAAAAAUAAACACACUCAAGUAGACUAAACUUGCUGGGCUUUUAGUUUUACUUUAACAAAGGAAGUUUAGAUGAAAGUAAAUGUUGCAGCUUUUAGAAAAUUAGUUGACACUCAUACUUGAUCAUCUUUACUACACAGCGGUAUAAUUAAUAUUUAAACAUUCUAAUAAUGCAGCUUGCUUUGCAUGCACUUUUCAGCCUUGCAACAUUAUAUUUUAUCUGGAAUUGUGCUAGCAUUUUCUUGGGUAGUGCCCAUUUUCAUAGAGUUAAAUUUAAAAUAGGGUAGGGCCUUAGCUCUUAUUGCCAGUAAAACAUCAAUAGGAGAGUGAACAGGUUUCAUGCAUCUACCAGACAGUUUAUUAUUAAGGACAAUAUUUAUUUGAGAUAAUAGAUAAUAUACAAAUUUUGUUUCAUUGCCCCAUGAGUGUUUUUAAAUGAUCAGAAUAGAUUAAGUUUGCAUUUGGCUGUUGUCCACUCACUGUUCAAAACAGGAGAAUGUUGACGAUGUAAAGGCAGUGCGAAAUCAGCAAGUGAUACAUGAAACAUGGAACCUCCAUGCCUGCCCAUUCAUUAGGGCAUCUGAUUAACAUAAUAAGGAAUGUUUAUUUUCAGUACAUAAAAUUGUAGAAUUUUGGGAGCAUCUUCUGAAUUGCAAAGGCUGAAUACCCAGGAACUUAGUGGAACAAUAAAAAUAUAGAGAAGUAAGCUAAUUGGGAGAAGCCUGAGCUAGUUUAUUUUCCUAUGAGAAGUUUCUUCCUGUUCCAGUCUCAGGGCUGUAGGUGGUAGGGAAAAGUUGUUUCAGGUGCUGCCCUCAGCUCAGUCCCUUUGAAGAGUGCAAGGUGCCCAGUGUUCUUUAUCUUCUAGUUUGAAUGAUGAGAAAGAGCAUUCUACUUUUCCACCAUCACUUAAGUGUCCUUUGAAAUCGAAUUUGCACGCACAUAUUUACUGCUCCUUCUUUUUAAGUGAGUAGGUGUGCUGAGCUUCAAGUCUAUUUUGAGACUCAGCCCAUGUUAACCCCUUGAGACCCACUUCAUGAUAGGUACUGCCCUGUGGGAAUCCUGUCAUUUAGUGAAGCAUGAAGCCAUAAUAGAUCCACAGCCAUGCCACCAUUGGGCAUCUCAUUUCAAUUAAUUCCCUAAAGCCUUUGAUGCUGUGGUUUACACAAAUCAAAUGUGCAAAUGAGAACUACAAAAUUAGGCAGGUUAAAUUUCACAAGAAAAAAAAAGAUAAAUAGUAGAAAAAAUAGCCAGUGUAAAAUAUUACUACACAGCAGCAAUACUUAAACUAAGUUCCACACUGAAAGAACCACCAGAUCUCGAGAAGUAGAUAUGAAGAAACAGUUUGCACUGGCUGUUUUAUUUCCUUAUGUCAGAAGGAAGUCAGUUUUUACAGAUCCUUGGACAUGAUCAUCUUUGUUUCUGAUACUCAGAAACAGAACCAGCAGUUUGGUGUCUAUUUAUUUUAUUUGGUUUGUUUUUGAGAAACGGUGUUAAAUAAACUCAGCUUACAAAUAACUAACAGUCCGUGGACUAUUUAAAACCAUCUAUUGAGGUAGUAGAGAUAAGUUGAACCCAACUGCUGUCACAUGUAUGGGUUUGACAGAUAGGUAAGUCCAAGAGUGGACAAAUUAAAAGCAUUUUUCGUAUGCUAAUCUCCACCUGCACAGGAAUAAAAUUUUUUUUAAGGAGGCAGUCUACUGGCAGAGUAAAUUCAAGAGCUAUCAGUAGUACAUUACUUCUAGGAAUUAUGACAUGAAAUAAUGAAUAAAUGCUUUGAUGAGGAAAGUCUGCUGUGGAAUCUCAAUUCCAGAUGAGUGUCCUGACAGCAAUGUGCCAGCAAUGCUGUGGAAAGAAAAAUGACAUAUAUACUUACAUAUAUAUUCACACACGUAUGUGUGUGUGUGUGUGUGUGUAUACAUAAAUAUAUAAGGCAUUUAAACUUGAAUAAUAAUUUCUUCCAUUUGUAAUCGGUUCACAAUUAUAUCUAAAGAAUUACUUUUUUAGUUGUGAAUACAGAUCAAAGUGAAAACAAUAGUCUACCUUGCCCUUCAGGUGGCAGUUACAUGUGAGCUGCAUAGUGAGUGUGAGAGACAGUCAAGGAUGUCAAUCAGAACCUACAGAUGAACCCACAGCAGUGAAAUCUGAGACGGUUUAUAACAAGUAGGUAACAGUUUCAGGCCUCUGUGAGAACGCAUAAACUAAAACUUCAUGCUGGGACAAAACAGGGCAGGACAUUUGAGGUAGAGAGUGAGAAAACCAUACUUUUAUUAUGACAAAGGCUCUCCCAUACUUGUUGAAAUGUCACUGGGUUGUUAUUAAAUGCUCACCAUUUCUCUAGACUUUAUAUUAUUCUACAAAAAGCUUUUGGAGUUUCCUUUAAUUUUGAUAAACAUUCAAAUUUGUGCAUAAUUUCUGCACUUCAGCUUUGAAUGAUAGAAAAUUUCCCAUGCUUGUUGAGUUUCUUUUCAAGUAAGAAAGUAAUUUUUGUAAUAAAUAAAAAUGUUACAUUUCUUUCUUCCAGUGUUAUCAAGUUAAUAAACCCUUACCUUAGUUUAUAAAGUCAAAAUUCACUAAUGUAUUGAAAUGAGAACUGAAACACUCAAAAAGAAAUCUUACACGUCGAAUAAUAACGACGGUAAUGAAUGGAUGGUCAUGAUUAUGGAUUGUAAUGAUGAUCUCAUGUAAGGUCCUAUCUCUUUUUAAUAGAGAGCCCUCAGGCUCAGCAAAUUUAGGGUUAAAGUGCCUAUAACCAAAUCAGAAUCAUCAGUUAUUACAUAGUACUCUUUUAAGACCCAUUAAUUAAGUUAUAAUCAAUGAUUACAACACUGGUAUCAUUUAUUAAUGUACCCUUCUCUUCUAGGAUAGCAGAGUUCAGUUUCUGACACCUUAGAACUCUUCAUGUGCAUGAGGAAAUUGAAAUAAUAACAACAUAUUUAGGCACUAGGCAAAAUGAUUUGCUUUGGCUUUACCUACAGGGAAACCUGGGCAAUGGUCAUUAGACUUUUUUAAUGGAACUUCAAGUCUAAUGCCUUGUGACCAGGUGCUAACAUGGAAAAGAGUUAGCAUCAUUGACAUUCUUUGAUUCGGAAGCACAUCAGGAGGUAGAUAAGGGGACAGCACAGGCGACCCACCUCCAGCCCAGAAGAGGAGGACAGUUCCUGGAAUGUCUGCAAUGUGUUACUAUUUUCGUCACACCUAUGUGUGGCCAUCCAUCUGGUCUGAAUCAAUCGGUCUCAUCCCAGGGCUCUGCUCCGCUCCCAGCUGAAAUAAUACCCUUCUUUCCUCAGUGCUCUGUCUUUAGGAGGGGCACUGCUCAGGACUGCCUGGGCAAGGCCAAUGAACGAGGCUGUGCAUUUGCAAACAUUGCCCCAGGAUUAGACGUUGGAGAAAAUUUUCUAUAAACUCUGCUCUCCUAGAAACAGUACUUGAGAAAACCGGAUGAAUCAUUAGACAAAUAAUUGACCCCAGAAAGCGAAAGAAUGAUGCUACAUUAUUUUGUAUACAUGCAUCUUAUUUUUUUUAAAGAAAAUGUCCUGACAUUGAAUUUAAACCAUGAAUUGGUCUGCUGUUAUACCCAAAGUAGAUAAAGUCUGGGUGUGAGGCAUUGGCCAUGACUUAGCCUGAAGUAUUUUCUUUGGCCACUUCACUCUGCUCCACGCUACGUGUUCAAUUUCCCUGCACCUCUGUAACAACCCUACACCUCUGCUUCUAGAUCAUCUUCCUGGCAUUCCUCAUGUGCACAUCCUGUUCUCUAGCAGUCCCUUAUCCAUGCCGCCCCAUCAGAUUCCUGUAUACCUGACAGACUCUUGCUUGCUAUUUCAGCUACUAGACUACUGACCUCUAUUGUACAUGCCUGCAAUCCCAGCACUUUGGGAGGCCAAGGUGGUAGGAUAGCUUGAGCCCAAGAGUUUAAGACCAGCCUGAGCAACAUGGGGACCCUGUCUCUACCAAAAGAAGAAUCAAGGUAUUCACCAGUUAAGCCAGCCACGUUUUAGGACCACAUAGCACUCUUCCCACAAGAGACCUCAAAACUUAAUGACAUUGGCUUUGGCAAAUUCAAUAACAUGACAUAAAACUAUUCAUUUUCCCUAUCUGCCUAGUUUUCCAUUGCAGUGGGAAAUACCACCCUAUCGUGGACCUCCCAACCAGGAACCCCAUGGUUAUUUUUGUCUCACUGCUGUCUUUCUCACUCCCCACAUCCAGUCUGUUACCAACCGUUGCUACUUUUUCUUUGCCAAUGUUUCCUGAAUCCACCCCUUUCCUUUCCAUUCUCAUAGUUGUGGUCUUAGUCUAGGCUUUGGCCUUGGCCCACGGGAACUUUGCAGCCUUCUUUCCCCUCUCCCACCACAUUCACAUAUCAAAUUUCAGCUUACUUUAUUUAAUAACAUUGACAACUUUUUUUUCUCUUGUCUAUGUUUUUGAUCCAUUCAUUCUCUUUGAGCUCCAUUGAGACUGCCAGCUGCUCUCUGGACUGGCUUCUAAUGUUCACUUUAUACAUGUCACCUCUUCAUCCAGCUACCUCCUAAUUGUUCCAAUCUUUUUUCUUUCUUUUUGGAGGUAAGCUUAUCUGGUACUUCUUUUUUCAUCAUUAUCACACGUCUUCAGAAAACCUUCUCAUGGUAUACAUGUUCCUGAUACACACCUCUCAAGGGCAGAUUCUGACACUUUCUUUCAGUAGUCCUUCCUUCCUUCCUUUUUGAUGUAGCAAAGUGUCCUCUUUGUGUGCAUGUCCAGGUUCAAAACUUCCAAUUCCACCACUUGUACCUAUGACAUUGGGCGGUUACUUAACAGCACUGCACCUCAGCUUCCUCAUCUGUAAAAUGGAUUGUUGUGACGAGUAAUAAGAUCAUUUGUUUAGAGCACUACUGGCAUACAGUAAGCACUGUUAACAUGUUUGCUAUUAGUAUUAUUACCGUAUCUCAAAGGACUCCCCAAUCACACCCCACUUCAAUCACCAUCAUGCUGUGUGCUAUAUUAUCCUUGCAUGUAAAUUUUGAGGAUCACAUAACUGGGUUUUAAAAAUCUGAUUCUAACAGUAGUUUAUGUCUUAGAAAUCAGUGCAAAGUUAAUCGAAGAUACCUGAUAUCAAACCAGGUAAUGAUGAAGGCUUUAAAUGCUUUUUGAGGAUGAUUAUAAAGAACAUGAUGAUGAUGAUGAUGAUGAUGAUGAUGAUGAUGAUGAUGAUGAAGAAAACAUGACCAAAUGCUUCUUUGGGUUAAUACUCUGCUUGUAAAGCUAAGUCUCUGGGAAACAUACAGUAUUCCUCCUGAAAUUAGUUUUUUCCCAUUACAUGGAAACAUGUUAUGCAUAAGAAAAUAUAUUGUGCAGUAUGCAUGAGAUUUAUUUUUCAGAAAGCAGAGAAAUGGCAAGAAUUUUAAAUGUUCUACAUACUUAUUUAGAUCUCACAUCAGGAGAUAAAACAAAUGAAAACUCUGACUUGUUAAUAAUUUACAUUUUGGUGGAAAAUUCAUACAAGCUGUUAAGAUACCACUAAGACCUAACACAGAAAAUGCAAAUAACUUAUAUCCACUGUGCACUGAAGAAAAUUUGUCUGAAAAGAAAAUAACAUCAAUUAAAAAAAAAGUGAUUUCAAGGGAAUAUUGACCACAUUUACAGGGCUAUAAUUGUACUUAUUAAUUUCAGACGUCUCUUUUGAAAAUUUGUGUAAAUGAUCUCUCCACUUAUCAGGUGUUUCUUACAGAAAGUCCACUGGGCUACCUCACUACCUAGGAGGUGGCUUACAAAUAGGGGAUUUCUUUUUAGAAAGCCACACCAUUACUUUUCUCUAACAGCUUAUGCAAAAGUUUUGUGGGGGAGGGAAAAACCCAAGCCAAAAAAAAAAAAAAAGAGAGAGAGAGAGAAGAGUGUGCAUGACAAUAACUACCUCUAUCCCUUAGGUUUUUGUUCUUUUCAUGUCAUGGAACUUUUUAGCUGUGCUGCCUGGGUAACUGCUCUGGAAGGUUGGAAUAUCUGUUGUUGAAGGAGGUUUGUGAUUGAGGGCCCUCUGACACAACCUUUUGUUGCAUUGAGGUGUUUGAUCCUCUUUCCCUUUCUUCUAAAACCAAUCCCAUCCCUUUAAAAAAUGGAUAACCAGCACUUCUUUUACUUAUUGUCAGCUUUUGGAAAGUUACUCUGGGGGUUUGUAGAAGUUUAACUAGUUAACUCUUUGCAUGCUGACGUCCUGUCGCUAAAUAUUCUUCUUCUUUCUAAACAGGAAGAUCUUUAAUCACUUAUAUCAGGUAACUACUGCUGUUAUGCAGGCAUAGCAAGUGAAACAUAUUCAGGUCCAGAAAUAAAGUGUUUGUAUUCAAGGUCUUGAAAUGUGAGAGUGAUUCAGGCUUUGCAAUGAGACACAUCCUUAUUUUCUUUUUGUCCUAGAACCGAAACAUGUGAGAGUUAUGUCUCUGCCAUUUGAAAAAAUAUGAUGAUAUACUAAUUUUUCAUUGAAGAACAACAGGCUUUGGUAAUAAGUAAAUGCAAAGGGUUACUUCAGAACUGGGAUAUAUAACUGAAUGGCAACAAAGAAAGAGAGCCUUAGAAUGAAAAGUUUAGGGGUCUUGUUCCAGUCUGCUGACUAAAUGCUGGAAUAUUUUUUUCCCAAAAGAAGGGACACAACGCAGGCUCUAGGAAAGAAAAGAAGCUUAAGUGGAUUAUUUAACAAAAAAGCAACUUAUGCCUUCUAGAUAGUGACCUACAUUCUGCACACAAUAAUGAUGUUUUACGGUGGUGAUAGGGUUAAUAACCUAACAUCAUUCAUGUAGUGUUUUUUGAAAAUUGAAUUUUACUGCUACAAAGUAAAUGUAACAGCCCUCUGGAGACAAUAUUACAGGCACUUUAUUGUUUGCUAAGCUGAUGUCAUCUUUCUACAGACUGACUUUAAAACAAAGGCAGAGCAUUUAUUACAAAUAUCACUGUGUGAAAGGAAAUCUACUGAAAUAUUGUUUAGAAGGUGAGCUGAUAAAAAAGUAUUAAUACUUGGCUUUGAUCAUCUUGUACUAUAAAGUUAUGACUUCAAAAUUCUUCUCAUGUGAUCUCUAUUCAAGGCAAACUUCAUCCUGGCAAUUCCUACCCACGUCUCUAACAUUAUUUGCCCUCAAGUUGAAACAUUUGUUUAAGCUCCAUGCGUGUUUUAAACAUUUUUACUCUCUAAGGCAAUUUCUUAACAGAGUUGAUGAGUUUUUGAGAGAGAGAGAUUAAAUAGCAUCUUUCAGAGAUAAUAUAUGUAUGAUUUUAAAAACAAAGUAUGGAGAUUAAGCUGUUUAGUUUAUAUAAUGAACUUUCAAAAUCACCUGUAAGUGGUGACUGCAAAGUUUGCAAUUUAAAUAAGCUGUUUCAGGCACUGCCAAGCAAGCAUUCUGCAUCACAGGUUGCUUGCAACUCAGAGGGUUUGGUCUCUGUAUCUGACGCACGUGUAAUACAGCGUGAAGUUGUUUGUGGAUCACACAGGAGCUUCUUAGAGCCUCAUUUCCACACUGUAACCCUUGAAAAUGUAUCAAAUGAGCAGAUGCACUUGGUUCUUCCUUACAAGGCACAAGUAAUUUGUUUGUAAAUCAGUUACCUUUCAAGAAAAGUUAAAUUAGGGGGAACUCUUGUUUCUUUGAUGUUUUUCCUCUUAGAAAGCCAAAGAGCAAAUUAAUGAUCAUUUUACAGUAAUAAUGAUAAUGAGGAAAAUAUAAUUUAGUGAGCUACACUAUCCCAAAAUAACUUUUUCAGGUACAGCAUAUAAAUAACAGCCCAAAGGACUGAAGUAGCCUGAUGGUGUUUUUCUAAGAAAAUGAUUUACUGCUCUGCCUUUGUCUCUGAAUUCUGGUUAGAAGGAAAACACAGGUCAAGGAAAUUGGGUUAAGGGGAAAAAAAGCCUGUUAUGGGCUAGGUGUAGAAUUGUAUGAAUAGUGACUAAUUGGGAGUCUGUAGCACUCAGAUCAGUGUGUACAAUGCUCAGUACUGGCUGAUGGUAUUUAUAUCAAUCAAAAAUGAAGCUGGAUACAUCUUUGCAUGCUCUAUGAAGGCAGUGUGUUAGUUGGUGAAUUUGCCGUGCCCAGGAGAAAGCUACCAGUAGUACUAUGAUUGUGAUUAAACCAGGAACUGAACUGUAAUGUCUUAAAAAUUUGUUUUGCUAACAAGUAUACUUCUCUAUAGAAAAAUCAUUAAAAAAAAAAAAAAAAAAAAACACCUUACAACUAUUUGAAACAUUUUCUUUAAGCCUGCCUUUGAUUUGUUUGGGAAGCUAUUUUAUAGUCACUCAAUUCAUUAUUGUAUUUGACAAAUAUUAGCUACUUACCAUGUGCCAGCACUAAAGGUUCAAAGGUGAGUCCUCACAGAGCCUUACAGAUAAGUGUCAGAAAGAACUGCUUGGCAAGGGUCAAAGUGUGACACAUUGUGAGUAUUCAAGAAAUGUUUGUUGAGUGACUGAAUGAAUUGAGGGAUGAUCAAGGUAAGUCCUCGAUUUUGUAUAUGUAUAAGGAGGAACUAAAAGUUUCUCUCCUUGAACAAGUCACAAAGGGCAUGCUUGAGCUAGCCUUAAAAAAAACACCUGAGUGGCAUGUAGCAUGUGAGUAUGAACAGGAAUGGACCACUGGUGGUAGAAACAGCAUCCCAAAAUAUGGUCUGAGUUUUAACAGCACAGCCCAUUUCUGACCACUGCAUGCCUCAAAGCCACUUUAAGAAUUUGAUCUUUGCCCUUCUCUCCUCACCUCAUGUUGUUCUGUAAUACACACAAGCAUGUGUGCGCGUGUACACACACAUACCCCCAUGUGCUCACUCCAUGGUUGGAAUUCGAGUGUCCACCCCUUCACGAAUCAAAGCAUCUCCUAAAAGAAAAGAAAUGGCAUACCUGUUCCUCACUUUUAUCCAUAAAACUCAUAUUUGAGUUGUCUAUCAUGAGACCUCAGUUUUUUGACCAAACGUUGUCCUUAAGCAUCGGACACAUAAGAAAAAAUGGAAAGAGGAGCAGGUCAUAUUUAAACCACCCACUAUUCUUCUAAUGAAAGGAUUUUUCAAACAUCAAGAUGAAAUGGUUUUGUCAAAUUAUGAAAGUUACUUUUUCUGUCUGACUUAGCAAUAAGUCAUGGAUGGGACACUCAAAACAGGCCAAUUUGGGACAGUUCCAACUGUAGGAGGCCUUGUGUCAUUACCUCUCUAAAUGGAAUUGAGCUUCCCUUCUUCUGCAGCUAUACAUUUUCUUGCCUUUGAUUCCCCACUCUGUUUUCUCUCCAGGCAGGCCUUUCCUCUCUCCUCCGUCGGCUACUCUGUAGGCAGAUAUGCCUCUUUUUCCAUUUGCCAGAUCCCCCCCUCCCCACCUAGAUCUUCCAAACUACACCCCUUUGAAGUCUCUAUUACCGAUACAAUCACUUUUGUUUCCCUUCCAUCCCCUCUCUCACCGCUCCAGUUUCUUCUCUCCCUAACCCCAUUAGUUACAUCUGCUGCCCCUACCAUUCAGCCUGUGUUAAAUCGUAAUGCGCUUGACAUAACUUCAGUUUGUCUGCUAAGUACUCAAUCAGCACGCAGUGCUAUCUUCUGAUUUGUAGGAAAGGGGGCAAGACUGAGUAAGCUGGCUCAGAAUUCUCUGAGUGAUUCAGCUCUGCCCAAUUAGCACAACCAAAGUGGGAAACUGACAACUAAUAAUAAUGAAAGAAAUGGGUUUUAGUUGUGAAUAUAAAUCCCACAAACUUGGUUCCUGAUGCCUGUGGUAGAUAUUGUAUGCUUCAUAUGGUGGUCAGAUGGCUCAGAGAAUGCAGAAGUGGAUGAAUGAAGGAGAGUGUGUCAAUAAUUGCAAUAUUUAUUAGUUGACUGGGAUUCUUUCCCUGGAAUUCAUUAAUGGAUUUUUUAAAGAAUCUGCAAACCACCAGAAAUUGCAUGUAACAUUUAGUACAUUGAUGCACAUUUUUCCUGGGCAGUGGGUCCAUACGUUUAAGCAGAUUCUUAAAAGGCUCUAUGUCUCCCCACUAUCCCCCUCCAAAAAGGUGAAGAAUCAUUGCUACAAGUGAAGACACCUAUUUGGUCUAGGUUUUCAUGUGGUCUGCUUUUUUUCCCAGCCCAUUUUAACAUGCCACAUGAUUUGAGCAGUUCAGAGAGUAGAAACAUAGGGUUUUAAAAGCAAAAUUUACCUUCUUUAAGAGGAAAAGUGUUCAAACCACCUACCAGGUUAUACAAUUCAUAUUUUAAAAAUUAUUUUAGUUUUACCACAAUUCAAAGACAGGCCACUUUUUUAAAUUUAACAAUGGGUAUAAUCACACAUCUGAACAUAAGAAUUAGUUUUAUGCAGUUCCAUAGAAAACCAAAAUCUUGAGGAACACUUUCAAAACAACCAAAGAAAAAUAAACCAUUCCUUAUGUCAGUCUUGUUAGGGAGGGAUUAAGAAACUGGCAAUUAUUUUGGCGACCUUAAUUGUUGCGCGGCAGGAAAAUAUGUAAUUAGAGCACGUUCCCAGGCCUGCACACCUGCAGCACAUCCUACAGCAUAAUGUCAGCUUUCAGUGCCCGUCGGUGCCAGGUUCUAGCACAACCAGUCACAGUGACGCUCUGAGAACAUUUCGGACUCAUGUAAUGUGGCUUCUGUGUAUGAAAGAAGCAGGCAUUUACACUACCACACAAUGGAGUGCAUUGCUGCAACACUGGUUUCAUUAUUUUCUGACGCCUACCUUCAGCACUGCCCUGGUUUACUCCGUUUGAGGUUUUAUUGUUACGGUAUAAUAGUCCUGUACAUUUUUGAAAUUCCCUUAUUAUUGAGCUUAUUAAUACAGUACUGACUUGAUUAUCAGGCUGCAGUUGCGCAGCGGAAGAUUCAGUGCAUUAGCUAAGUCAAAAGCUGAGUAAAUGCUUGGUAUAAUGAGAACAAUUGUUUGACAUUUUUUUCUAUGUAGAAAGAUGGGCCAUGGUAGUUCUCUAUAUAGUUGCAUUUUGGAAUUCACUCUAUAUUCCCUAUAUGUUGUUGAGUAUUCGUUUUUCAGAUAAAGAAAGCUUAAAAUGUGUUCUCACUAAUUUGAAAGUGUUUCAGGGUAUGGGAGGACGCCAUCAUGAUUCUCAUUAGCUUUUUUCUUCUUUUUCUUUUACUGGCUUUUCUCAACAAAAAGAAACUCCGAUGUUAGAAAAAGUAGUGAAAAUGAAGAAACAGUAUGCACGAUGCCUGUUUUUCAGAUAAUUCCAUAAUCUGGCAUAGUGAUAGUUAACAGACUUUUCCCCCCUAAGGGAGAUACACUGUAUUUUGCUAUCUGACAUGUUGUCAUAUAUAAAGAAAUCAAUUGGUAAUUAAAUGAUGCACCUUGUGAAGAUGACAAAAGGCAUUUGGUUGCGAAAAGAGAACUGGGUUUUGAGGGGUUUGUAAUGAAGGCCUAAUGACUAUUCAUAAGAGAUUUUCAGUCCGUUGAUCCACUUGACUGGAAAGUUCUGCCCUGGAGAGUUAGUGCUGUCAGUUUCUCUCACCUCAGAAAGCCGCCGCAAUCGACGGUGUAGAGGAUGAGCGAGAAAUUAUCUAGUAGUUGCUCUAGGCCUGUCUUAGGUCACGUGCAGAAGGCACAUCUGGCUUCCUGUAGGUACAACCUCAGGACAUAAACUUUGACUAAUUUUUAAACUAUAAAUAUGUACGAGUGACACUGAAUAAGUUACCUUUUAUUCAUAUUUACUUUAUUUUAGAAUGCAUGCAAGUUGUGCAGUAAGCUGCCAUUUUGGCCUUAUUUUUCUUCCAAUUUUAACUGUUACACAUUUGCUUGUUAAGCUAGAGUGACUGUUUAUGAAAGUUGUCAAGGACCAAAUGAUGACAGUCUCCGUAUGUGAAAUCCAGCAACUGUACCUUUGCAGAGAAUAUGCCAAAGUUGCCCUGCAGGAAGGUCACCUGAAACAAAUACAGUGUAUGCGAUUGUAUAGCGCUCUUGGUGCAUGUUUAUUGCCCUAUUUGGCAAAAGGCAGAAAAAUACCAAAAUGUACAUACAUAGGACUGGACACAAGGCUGCCACCUCAUCAAGAUCUCUAGAACUGCAGAACAUUGUUGCUCCAGUGUCUUCAUAAACACAAUCACAAAAACUAUGAUGAAAAUUCAUGCAUUCAAAACAGACCAGUUACCGUCCACCAUGGGCCAGGCACCAUCCUAGCUUUGGAGGAGACAAAGAUGAGGGAAGCAGAAUCUCAGUCCUCAUAGUUUAUUGAGGAACAGACAAACAAGAAAACAGUUACACUACAACAAGGAAAGAGUUAUGGUUGAGUUGUAUAAUAGCGCAGAGUCUUAGAAUCCAGUAAAGGGUUUUCUGAGAACUGUUGGGGUCCACAAGCGAGGUAAAGAUUUCUUAUACGAGCUACUCUUUCCAUUGCCAAAGCCAAAUUAGCUGGCGGAAAGGUGAGUUGGACAAGUGAGGUGUUUCUGUUGCACGUGGAAUCUCAACAGGACAGUAGUGGCCAGCAAUUUCUGUACAUAUUUACUCUUGGAAAGUGCCUCUCCAUGUUAUCUUAUCAAGAAGCUCACCUAAUCAAAGGUAAACAUGUUUAUCGCCUCAUUAAGGCUUGUUUUAUGGCCACUUCGAUUCGAUGUUGUGUUUGAGGUGGAAGUAUCUGUCACAGUCUUUGUCUGGAAUGUAUGUAAAAGAGAUUUCAUGGACACUGCAGAGGUUUUAAUCUCUCAAUAUCAAAAUAAUUUAAUGCAUUAUAUAUAUUUGAGAAGAUGUCACUGGUGAUUCCUACUUGUGUACUGUGUGUGCUGAGUUUUGCUGACACGUUUGCUAGAGCUGUCAAGGUGGACCAAAUGAAUGGACAGAUGCCAAAAAAACAAUUAUGCUUAUUAAUGUACAUUGAUUGCUUGUUUAGGUUAUGAAACAAAUUUAAAAAAACAUUAGUAUUUAAACCCUUUUAUAGCUGAGCUAAUGAUUGCUUGUAAUAUAGUGUCUAGUAAAGAAUAUUCUAUAAUACCUGUAAAGCCCAGCUAUGUUAUCUGAUUAGUAGACUUUGAUUUAAGUGGCUAUAAUUAUGGAAUUGAAUAGUUGCCUUUCUAAAUAACCAAAUGGUAGAUUUAAAUAUAUAAAGAUGUUGACUUGAUUAUUUAAUAUUUGUAGCAAAGACAAACCACCUAAAUAGAGAGAUUAAUUCCACAUCAGUGCAACAUUAAAAGGGAGAGAGGAUGCCAAGAAUCCCAUUAAUUUGGGAUAUAAGUGUCUGAAAUUUCCUCAAAACGUUUACACCAAGGAAUACCAACAAGACAAUAUCAAGCAGCUCUCCCUAAGGAUAGAGAGGCGUAUUAAAACUAUAUAACCAACAGAACCAUUUAAAGGGAAGAAAAACAUCACCCAAGUUCCGUGUCUGAAUGAAGGCUGUCUUCUCAAAUGCUCCUCAUUACUCCAGAGCAGCUAUAUUUGGAUUAUGAUUAAAACAAGGCUGUUUUUUCUUUUAUGCUUCUUUUUUCCCAGAAUGCCUCAAGUGAAGUAUUCCUCCCAAAGUUAUUGCACCUCUUUACUAACAAGUGCUGGGAUUUUAAUAAGCCUGUCCCCUCUCCUUACCCUGUACGGAGGAACGGAUGGCAAAGAGUGGCUGUGGUACAAAGGUUACAUAUUCAGUGAUAUUUUCUGCUUUUAUUGGUAAAAAUGGGGAGGUGGGUGGAGGAUUUCCUUUAAUUAUGAAAUAAGUGUGAUGUUAGUAGUUACUUCCGUAACCUGGUGAAAAUGCUGCAUAUUUCAGGCCUAAUUUUUAGCAUAUGUUACCAUGUGUGUAAUAAAAUGGUGAUCUGUGCUCUCCGAAUCUUUUGGCUGUUCAGGAGCACUCUGAUUAUAACUAGUUGCUGUAGAAACCUGGUCAUCCAGAUGCUUAUCAAGAAAGCAUUAUUAUUUUUUAAACCUUGGUGGAGAAGCCACAGACUGCAGGAGUUGGACAAGGUCACAUAUCGAUGGAAGCGACAUGUCUUUCCUUUUUCCAUUGUGUGAUCGUCCAGGGCCUGGGGGCAUUAAUAUGCAACGGUUCUAUUUUUCUUUCAGAAGGACUUGUAAACUCUUUAAACAGAGGCACACAGUUGCAAUUGUUGCGGUACUGAGUGGGUGUAUAGAAGCUAGGGCUGCAGCCUUGUCCAGUUGCAGAUAGAAUAAAACUGACAAUGAUGCAAUGGGCCUGGCAUGUAGACAACUCUGUGGGAUGGAUGAAUGGUGCGGCUCUCGCUGUCCCUCCGGUGGUGGUAGGCCCUGUAAUAGCUAGCGUAGGAAGGGUGGUGAAAAUUGAUAUGCACUAUUACUACAUGUAUAAAACUUAACACUGGGGCCAUUGCACAGGUGGGGGGUUCCUGUUUAUUGAUUUUUAUGACUUUGUUAGAACAUGCGCUUAAUGCUUUUAUACUCCAGGAGCUAUGGGAGGGCUCACCUUAGGUAAUAAACCUUUCCGUACUUUGCAGUCGCUCACAAUUUACAUGGGGCCUCGCAUUAUCCAGUACAAAGCCCAGCAUCCCCCUUCUACUUGGUUUUAGGAGUGUGACAAAAAAAAAAGCAAAGAAAAUAACUAUAGCACUUACUUUGAAUUUUUUAAAAACCUGUCCACUCCUACUAUGAAAAUGGCCCCUAAUUCUAAUUACUCAUAUUUCCAAGAAAAAUUAGUCACACAAACUUAUGUUAUGUGUUGUCUCAGAGGUUGAAAGCAAAUCAGGUUUCCAAUAAGACAGUACAUCAAACAAAGUAGCAUGUUCUUGAUGCCGAUGACUUUUUUUUAGAAUUAUGGUUGGACAUUUUUGGCAGACAGAUUGUCUUUUGCUCUAUCAAAAUGACAGUUUCUUUUGUAACUGCAACAUUCAUAAUUAGAAGGAGAGAAGCAAUCUGCCCAAUUUAAUAUACUAAAAGAAGUUUAGAGUCUCUGCUAGUAAUUUCAUUAUUUUUAAAUUUGAAUUAAUUGACUUAAAAUAAUACAGUUAAGAAGUAUAACCAGCAGGAUUAUGGAGAAAGGUUUCUUUUUCCUUAAAAAACAGUGCUCUCAGUGUUAUACUUAAGAUGAGAUUGAAAUUUUCUUUUUACGCCAGGUGCCCCGUUCUAAGAUUCAGAGCAGGAAUGUGAAUAUUCAUCCUUGCAGUGGAGCUGAGAGAAGUUGUAGGGCAAAUCCUGGGAACAAGGUCACUUUAACAAAAAAGUUCUGCAAGUUUCCCAUGCUUGUGAGGCUGGCUGGGCUUAAUUAAAGUCAAUGGAUGACCAAUAAAUAAAUAAAUAAAUAAAUAAAUAAAUAAAUAAAGAAGAGAGAGAAAGAAAAGAAAAUGAAAGAACCACCACCCACCCCGUAUCAGUCUCUUUCGAGGCCUCAGUUCACAUUGCAUACCGUAACUGCUGAUGUUCAAGUUCUUUACAUAGAUCAAGAAUAGUAUUUCUUAAAUCCCUUAAGAACACUGAUGUGUCCAUGGUUUAAUCACUCUUCCCCAGUCCACAUCUCUAACAUACGCCACUUAGGUGGCCCUCACCCACAGCACCACAACAAAAACAAAGCCAGAGUUGCAUUCAGAAUGAAAUCAUCAUAACAUAGCAACCUUGUUCAGGAUGUGACCUUUGGGUUUCAGCAACCCUGUCUUAUGCAGCCUGGCCAACCUUAACCUUUCCUGUUGGCUCGGAGGGUAACUUUUCUUCAUAUUUUCUUCGGGAUCUCUCCUUACAGGACCCAGUAUGUUGCAUGCCUAUGAUGCACAGGGCCAAAGUUUCGGAGUGUUAAAAUCUACGAGCCUGUUUUCCUCUAAGAGAAUGAAGCCUGCACUCAUUUUAAAGAAUACAUACGUAGCAAGAUCUCUUUUUACCCUUCCUGUAUAAUUUCGGUCAUGCUCAACUCUAAAGAAAACCAAUUCUCUUUAGCUCUGUUACCUUAUUUUGUACCUUAGCUGAUUGUCAUCUUUACAUGAGCAUCAGAUAUGGAUGUGACAAAGGUUUUUUAGAAAUAGUAACAACCAGUGCUUUAUGAGUUGUUAAGUGUUUUUCUCUCCCACAAGAAAUUGCAACACAAAGUGCCCUAUGCAUUUUUUUAGUACGUUGAUAAGACAGCAGGAAAUUUUUUAACCCUCAAAACUUUCUGAUUAUAAGCUGUGCUCUAAAUUUACACAGGCAGUGUUCCAAGUCCCACACUCCUUUACAAGUAUAUCAUUACAGACCUGCAAGUGAGAAGGUAAAUUUCCCCAUGGCAGUUCUGAAAUCUGACUUCAGGCUAAGAGGCCAUGGCCUCAGAGGGCUGAUUGUACUGGAUACCUACAUGUCAAAAUCUCCUCUAGUAUUUUAGUAGUUCCUUCUGUCCUUUUGUCAGCCCUGUGUCCUACAGAAGUGACAUUUUGUUCUAUUUUCAUUCAUCUUACUCUACUUAGUUGUAUAUCAAAAGAUAUACACAUUUAUAUAACCCAAGAAGCCAGGGAUUAAAGCACAAUAUUUCUUAACACAGUUUCCUCUAAGAUCUCCAAUAGCUACUUAAUGCUUAAGGCUUGGGCUGACGUGGGUUGUAGGGUUAUAGUAGCUUUAUAGCUAUUUCUAUUUGUAUAUGCUAUGUUUAUAUAUGUAAUACAUAUAUGUGUGACUUAGGGCUAUACUAACAUGUUAUUUUCUAUUUGUUCAUUUACUAUAAACAGCAGGCAAGCAGACGUUUCACCUCACACCUCAUUCUGGUCUCUAUCAUUCAAAAAAUAUUGCAAGAUUUCCAUUCUAAAUUAAAUACAUCCGAACUUACUUUUUUUUUUUUUUAUCAAUUCUUUAUUCUUGGUAUCUCUAAAUUCUGGUCUUCUUCCUUUGUCUCAAAAAGGGAAACUGCUGAAAGCAUUUCCACCUGGAUGUUUCAAUUAUUUAAGUUGCAGGAACCAGACCUUUUCCCUCCUGAGUAGUUGUGGGUUUUAAAGGCUAAAAUUGCUUCAUCAUGCCAAAGUGAAAGUAUGCAUAAAUUAUUUAGUUAAACCUGAGAAAAUACAGACUUUUCCCAGUGAUCUUUCAAGGGCUGCCUACUUAAAUUUCAGAAGAAUGGGCAAGAUUUUUUUUUCAUUCUCUUGGAAAAUUGAAGUAUCUCUUGUGUCUUCUAUCAGUUGGAAUGUGAACAAAAUUACAAAAUGAAAAUUUUUUUAAAAUUCCAAGCUUCAUAAUAUCCAGUAUAUCUAUGUCAUUCCAAGGUGAAUACUGUGGUAAUCAAUCAAUACCAGGAAGACUCCUCCAGCUGGCGAGAACUGCAAACCCUCUCUCAAUGUAUUCUUAGGAGAAUCAGGCAACUUGUUACAUACAGGUCUCUCCCUAAUGUCAAACUAAGGACUGGGGGGCAUUUCCGAUUCAAAUUCUAGUCAUCCAGAGUUGGUAUUUCAGUUUUAAAAGUAGAAAGUAAGGUAAUUUUAAGAUGUUAUAAAAACUUUGUUGACAUUUUUAAUUUGCUUUUUUUCUUUACCUUUACUCCAGUAAAUAAAAAUACCAAAAAAGUGUGAAGUUGUGUGGUGGUGGUGGUGGUUGGGGGGUGUGUGUGUGUUUGUGUGUGUAUGUGUGUGUAUAAGAUAGAUAAUAUUAAAGUAGCAAUGAAAACAGCCCAGAAAUAUAGGCAAUAGAGGCCCAAUUUCAAGUUUCUGCAGUGUAAGGCAUUCAGUUACCCAUGUAUAUUACAGAAUGUACCACAUUAUGUAUCUGAUCUCUAAAUUCGCCUUGGCAUAAAUGCUCCAAGUACAUUCUUAUGACCAAGAAAAGAAUGGUAUUUUUAAUUGAAUACCUAACCUCAAAUCCUGAAAGAAGCACUAAUUGGGACAGGACAAAAAUGUCAACAAAAAAGUACUUAUGUGAGUUAUUUAGUAUACAGCUGUCUGUUCAUUUGUAGAAUCCACUUGAAUUUUGUGUUCAGAGAAAUUGGGAGAUGAGAGUAAAUAUGGGGGGAGAUUGGCACGUUAAUUUGUUGAGUUUUUAUGAAAAAAUAAAAAUUUAAAAAACCUUCCAAGCAAAAUAAAACCUGUUCCAUUCACAAAUGAUGGAUGUCACUGAUCCCAUUAAUAUCUAUUACAUACCAGGUCCUCUUCCUUACAUCUAACUUGCUUUUUCUCCAAAUUUCAGUGUAGUUGCUCUUGACCUUGCCUUUGUUCUCCCUUCCUCCUUCUCUCUUCUGCCCAGGCACAGUUACGUCCACUAAACCAGAUGGGCAAAGAUUUCAUACUGACACCGCCAUACUCUGUUAAAUAGUUAAACAUCCUAUUUUGGCUUUUGUUUGCUUACUUAGAUUUGUACCCCCAAGGUGAUGAAAAGAGCACAGAUAGAAUCUAGAGACAAAUAGGAUCUGGAGUCAGGAAUCAGAUCCAGAUUCUAACACAAGGUGAUGUGGGAAAAAGUCAGUUAAAAUUUCUGAGAUUCAAUUUACUCACCUAUAAAAUCAUCCUCAUAAUAAUUGCUCCCCUCUUCAAAGGUUUGUUAUGAGGAGCAAGUGGAAAAAUGUCUAUUAACAGGCUCUGCUGUCAGUAGAUUAAUGCAUAAAUCCAGGUAUUAUUAUAUAAUCAAACUGUCCUUUUAAAUGUAGCAGAAAAGGAUUUUUAAGGCACACAUGAGAUUCUGGAAACAGAGACAUUACAGAAAAUCUAUAGGGACUAAAAAUGCAUUGUCUUCUACAUGCAUUUCUCUUGCCAGAGGUACACGCAGCCCUUUGGGGGGUGCUGCUCUGGCCAGGACAGUGGUGGAGAGCUCUGACUCUUGAGUAUGAGAGCUGGAACGAUUGAGAAAAGACAGGAGGGAAACUUCAAGGUCAGGUGACUUCUUUCUAACUGCAGCAGGUUCUCAGAUCCCUAGGCUGGCCCAAGAUGAGAGAGCAGUCAGCAAAGAGAGUCUGGCACAGUAAGCCUAAGUCUCAGUGUCAUCUGAUUGUGAAAUCUGCUUGUUUGCAUACUCAUACAGUACCAGAGCUUAAGCCCUGGCCACUGUACAGAGCAGAAUCUAAGACCAAGGGGUUGUUUUUACAAAGGAGGAAAAAUUUAUUAGAGUUACUUCAAGGAAAUCUAUUGGAUAAUCUCACCAAAUACGUUAAUAGCAUCAAUUACUGUGUUUUACGUAAUUUUUUUACACCAAAUACACAGUAUAUUAAAGAAUUUGUGGAAGUCCCCCAUGUGAGCCAGUAUUAAGCAUGAUAGGAGUAAUCAGGACUGGCCCAAGAAAGAUAGAAAUGAGAAUUUAUAAACUUGUCUAAUUCUCACUGCAGUUGCUUGAAGAAAAUUGAAAUGAAAGAAUCCAAAAAGGGAUUUAUGAAUAUUUUUUAAAGCU